GGAAUAUUGGACAAUGGCCGCAAGGCUGAUCCAGCCAUCCAGCGUGCCGGAAGAAGGCCCUACGGGUUGUAAACUGCUUUUCUCAGGGAAUAAACCUCUGGAUUUACCCCGGAGCUGAUGGUACCUGAAGAAUAAGCACCGGCCAACUCCGAGCCAGCAGCCGCGGUAAUACGGAGGGUGCGAGCGUUAUCCGGAAGUACUGGGUUUAAAGGGUGCGUAGGCGGUACAGUAAGUCAGGAGUGAAAGUUUGCGGCUCAACCGUAAAAUUGCUUUUGAUACUGAUGUGCUGGAAUCAGGAUGAGGUCAGCGGAAUGUGGCAUGUAGCGGUGAAAUGCAUAGAUAUGCCAUAGAACACCAAUUGCGAAGGCAGCUGGCUAGACCUGAAUUGACGCUGAGGCACGAAAGCGUGGGGAGCGAA
rnacentral:rRNA from 1 species